UUAGUGCGUGCGCUGUGCGUG
rnacentral:misc_RNA from 1 species